GGUUAAGCGACUAAGCGUACACGGUGGAUGCCCUGGCAGUCAGAGGCGAUGAAGGGCGUGCUAAUCUGCGAUAAGCGCCGGUAAGGUGAUAUGAACCGUUAUAACCGGCGAUACCCGAAUGGGGAAACCCAGUGUGAUUCGUCACACUAUCAUUAACUGAAUCCAUAGGUUAAUGAGGCGAACCGGGGGAACUGAAACAUCUAAGUACCCCGAGGAAAAGAAAUCAACCGAGAUUCCCCCAGUAGCGGCGAGCGAACGGGGAGGAGCCCAGAGCCUGAAUCAGCAUGUGUGUUAGUGGAAGCGUCUGGAAAGGUGCGCGAUACAGGGUGACAGCCCCGUACACAAAAGCGCAUGUGCUGUGAGCUCGAUGAGUAGGGCGGGACACGUGGUAUCCUGUCUGAAUAUGGGGGGACCAUCCUCCAAGGCUAAAUACUCCUGACUGACCGAUAGUGAACCAGUACCGUGAGGGAAAGGCGAAAAGAACCCCGGCGAGGGGAGUGAAAAAGAACCUGAAACCGUGUACGUACAAGCAGUGGGAGCACCCUUCGGGGUGUGACUGCGUACCUUUUGUAUAAUGGGUCAGCGACUUAUAUUCUGUAGCAAGGUUAACCGUAUAGGGGAGCCGGAGGGAAACCGAGUCUUAACCGGGCGUUAAGUUGCAGGGUAUAGACCCGAAACCCGGUGAUCUAGCCAUGGGCAGGUUGAAGGUUGGGUAACACUAACUGGAGGACCGAACCGACUAAUGUUGAAAAAUUAGCGGAUGACCUGUGGCU
rnacentral:rRNA from 1 species